rnacentral:rRNA from 1 species
AUUGAACGCUGGCGGCAUGCCUUACACAUGCAAGUCGAACGGCAGCACGGGAGCAAUCCUGGCGGCGAGUGGCGAACGGGUGAGUAAUACAUCGGAACGUGCCCAAUCGUGGGGGAUAACGCAGCGAAAGCUGUGCUAAUACCGCAUACGAUCUACGGAUGAAAGCAGGGGAUCGCAAGACCUUGCGCGAAUGGAGCGGCCGAUGGCAGAUUAGGUAGUUGGUGAGGUAAAGGCUCACCAAGCCUUCGAUCUGUAGCUGGUCUGAGAGGACGACCAGCCACACUGGGACUGAGACACGGCCCAGACUCCUACGGGAGGCAGCAGUGGGGAAUUUUGGACAAUGGGCGAAAGCCUGAUCCAGCCAUGCCGCGUGC